AGGCAUGCUCUGGGUGUGCAGGAGAUGCACCGGCUUGUGUGAGCCGGUAGGGCAGGACGCGCGUGGAAGGGUCCACGUCUUGAGUAUGCAUGCUUAGAUCUAGCGUUCCUGUUGAUGGAGUCAUGGUCCUCGCAUUGACCAGAUCCGGGGCUUCAUUUUUUAAACCUCAUUCGUCCACUCCCCACCCCAGCCUGGUGUCCGCACCCUUUGAUGGGGCGGGGAUAGGCGAGAAGGUCCUGUGGUUCUCUGCCUUCUUCUGGUGAAUUAAAAUCCGAUUUGGAAGAGGGAAGGGCAGCCAGCACCAAAGAGGACUGUCAGAAGGACGUAGAAGGCACAGUUUUACUGUGAGGAGCAAAGAUUCUUUACCUACGCAUUUUACAAGAAAUGUGCAGAAAGCCAUUGAUAAAUACACCUGCGAAUCCUUGUCAUCCUUUUCCUCCAGCGGAAGCCAUACACCCACGGGAGCCCACACCUCUUGGUCUGGGUCGGCCACACAGAGCUCUACCACCGGCUCAUCCACGGAGAGGGGCUCCAUUUAUUCCUGGAGAGAUGACGAAUUUGACGAAGCCAGUUCACAGUCAGUGCA
rnacentral:sRNA from 1 species